AGCUUCUUUACAGUGUUGGGUUGUGGCAUGGAAUUCAAGCAGCAUUGUACAGGGCUAUCA
rnacentral:pre_miRNA from 1 species